ensembl:lncRNA
GGUUAGGCCAACUGGCAACCAGACAGUGGAUGGAAAGAGAACCCGGAAGCCUGGUGUAGGGCAGAGAUUGAAGUGCUGCACUUUCCAGCCACGAAAUGCCGUGAAUUGUCAGCAACCACCGGAAGCUGGAAGAGAACUCACUGCUAAAGAACACUUCGGUGGAACAGAGAUUUACUUUUCUGAACGCCUUGGAUAACUUUGCUGCCCUGAGGAUCAGGUGGCCUCUGGGUCCCACUCAUAUAAUUGUCUUCACGCUGCUGCUUCCGAAUGGCAUCGCCUUUGUGAGAAUGAAGAGGGAAGAGCCCGCUCAAUGCACAGCAUGUGCUCAAGGUCAAG